UACGAAGGGUGCAAGCGUUAUCCGGAUUCAUUGGGUUUAAAGGGUGCGUAGGCGGGGUGAUAAGUCAGUGGUGAAAUCUUGCGGCUCAACCGUAAAAUUGCCAUUGAUACUGUCAUUCUUGAGUACGCUUGACGUGAGCGGAAUGUGCCGUGUAGCGGUGAAAUGCUUAGAUACGGCACAGAACACCGAUAGCGAAGGCAGCUCACGAAGGCGAAACUGACGCUGAGGCACGAAAGCGUGGGGAUCGAACAGG
rnacentral:rRNA from 1 species